GUCCACGCCGUAACGAUGAUAACUAGGUGUUGGAAGAUUUGACCCUUUCAGCGCCGCAGCUAACGCAUUAAGUUAUCCGCCUGGGGAGUACGGUCGCAAGACUAAACUCAAAGGAAUUGACGGGGCCCGCACAAGCGGUGGAGUAUGUGGUUCAAUUCGACGCAACGCGAAGAACCUUACCUGGGUUAGAAAUCAACCGGAAGGUCUGUAGAGAUAUGGAUCGUCCCCGCAAGGGGACCGUUGACAGGUGCUGCAUGGCUGUCGU
rnacentral:rRNA from 1 species